GACGAACGCUGGCGGCGUGCUUAAAACAUGCAAGUCGAACGGACUUCUCAUGAAGCUUGCGAUUGAGAAGUUAGUGGCGGACGGGUGAGUAACGCGUGGGCAACCUGCCCCUGAGCCCGGGAUAACAGUUCGAAAGGACUGCUAAGACCGGAUAUACUUGCGGGGAAGCAUUUCACUGCAAGGAAAGGGAACGCUCAGGGAUGGGCCCGCGUCCCAUUAGCUAGUUGGUGAGGUAACGGCCCACCAAGGCGACGAUGGGUAGCCGGCCUGAGAGGGUGAACGGCCACACUGGGACUGAGACACGGCCCAGACUUCUACGGGAGGCAGCAGUUGGGAAUCUUCGGCAAUGGGCGCAAGCCUGACCGAGCAACGCCGCGUGAGUGAUGAAGGUUUUCGGAUUGUAAAGCUCUGUCUUCCGGGACGAUAAUGACGGUACCGGAGGAGGAAGCCACGGCUAACUACGUG
rnacentral:rRNA from 1 species